rnacentral:rRNA from 2 species
UCCGGAUUGGAGUCUGCAACUCGACUCCAUGAAGUCGGAAUCGCUAGUAAUCGUGGAUCAGAAUGCCACGGUGAAUACGUUCCCGGGCCUUGUACACACCGCCCGUCACACCAUGGGAGUGGGUUGCAAAAGAAGUAGGUAGCUUAACCUUCGGGAGGGCGCUUACCACUUUGUGAUUCAUGACUGGGGUGAAGUCGUAACAAGGUAACCGUAGGGGAACCUGCGGUUGGAUCACCUCCUUACCUUAAAGAA